CUAUGGUUUGAAUAACGCGCGUUAAGAUGCCUAUUGUACUCGCUGUAUGUAGAUAGCCAAUCGCCACCAUCGUGUCCUGGAACUGGUACCUCAGACUUGGGACAGUAAUAGGGGAGGGAGACACCGUUUGUUGUCGUUUGUCAGUUGUUUGCACUUGUCUCCAUAGUUACGUGGAUAUCAGUAGAUAUUGUCGGCAUCGUUGGUGUAUCGUAACGAAAAUUUCGUAUUUGUGACGCUAUUCUCUCCUGUAAUUUUAGUUUAUCAAAUUCGAGACUUUUAACUUUGAAAAUAUGGUGAGAACAAAAGCAGAUCGCGUGCCAGGCAAAGCCGUUGGCGGCAAAGCACCGGCUAAGGCCAUGAAAAGUACUCCAGUGAAAAAAGUUGCAGGAACGAGUAAAGGUAGAAGAAAUUUCAAGAAAGAAUUAUUCAGGUGGUAAUCCAUAUCAUCCAAGAGAGACACCUGUAUGGCAAAAGCCAAUUACAUGCUUCCUCAAUCAAGAUUCUUCCAAAGAUUGUACAUAUCCUUCGACAUCUCAGGAGAAUGAAGAUCAAAACACAAGUGAGGAGACAGGAGAUGAAUCAGAUUAAAAAGUCUGCAGUUCAAAAUUUUCCAAUCAGUGCCAUAUUAUCUUUUUAUCAUUUUUCAGUACAAUAAUUAUUUAUUUUUUGUAGAUUGCAUAAGCAUAACUAAUUUAUGUUUUUAUUAAUACAUGACAAAAACUAUAAGUUUUUAAACAUAUGUGAUAAGAAACACAGCAAGUGAGUUUAAUAGGUUUCUAUGUUUUUGAUACCAGGAGUAUUUUAAAUGUAUAAGUUAUUGUAAACAUGUCUUUUCAAAUAUGAUACCAAAUAUGUUUAGCUCAUUGCGGAUGCUUAUGCAAAUAUUGUUUCUACUCUUAAGUUAACAAUCAUGCCUAAAACUUUUGGAACUUUGUAUUUUUAA